rnacentral:snoRNA from 1 species
UACAAUGUCUUUUAUCUAGACACCCAGAGUCACGGUACGUUGCAUCUCUUCCAUGAACGUUACGCACCCAGGAUGCUCCAAGGCCUGGCGUCUUCGUGCUCGCGGUAGUCUUAGAGUGAUUUUCCAUGAUGGCGAUUCAUGGGGCCAUCGCGUUUUUACCAACCUUU